UGGCGGACGGGUGAGUAACGCGUGGAAAACCUGCCGUAUACAGGGGGAUAACACUUAGAAAUAGGUGCUAAUACCGCAUAAGCGCACAGCUUCGCAUGAAGCGGUGUGAAAAACUCUGGUGGUAUACGAUGGUUCCGCGUCUGAUUAGCUAGUUGGUGGGGUAAUGGCCUACCAAGGCAACGAUCAGUAGCCGGCCUGAGAGGGUGAACGGCCACAUUGGGACUGAGACACGGCCCAAACUCCUACGGAAGGCAGCAG
rnacentral:rRNA from 1 species